AUUGAACGCUGGCGGCAUGCCUUACACAUGCAAGUCGAACGGCAGCACGGGAGCAAUCCUGGUGGCGAGUGGCGAACGGGUGAGUAAUAUAUCGGGACGUGCCCAGUCGUGGGGAUAACGUAGCGAAAGCUACGCUAAUACCGCAUACGAUCUAUGGAUGAAAGCGGGGGAUCGCAAGACCUCGCGCGAUUGGAGCGGCCGAUAUCAGAUUAGGUAGUUGGUGAGGUAAAGGCUCACCAAGCCGACGAUCUGUAGCUGGUCUGAGAGGACGACCAGCCACACUGGGACUGAGACACGGCCCAGACUCCUACGGGAGGCAGCAGUGGGGAAUUUUUGGACAAUGGGCGAAAGCCUGAUCCAGCAAUGCCGCGUGAGUGAUGAAGGCCUCGGUUGUAAG
rnacentral:rRNA from 1 species